GAAUCAACGCUGGCGGCGUGCCUCAGACAUGCAAGUCGAACGCGAAAGUCCCCUUCGGGGGCAAGUAGAGUGGCGCACGGGUGAGUAACGCGUAGGUAAUCUACCUUUGGAUGGGGAAUAACAACCGGAAACGGUUGCUAAUACCGCAUAAUGCAGCGGCACCUAAUGGUGACAGUUGUUAAAGCGGGGGAUCGAAAGACCUCGCGUCUGAAGAGGAGCCUGCGGCGGAUUAGCAGGUUGGUAAGGUAACGGCUUACCAAGGCAACGAUCCGUAGCCGGCCUGAGAGGGGCGGUCGGCCACACUGACACUGACAUACGGGUC
rnacentral:rRNA from 1 species